rnacentral:rRNA from 1 species
UGGAUCCAGACUUUGAUUAUGGCUCAGGAUGAACGCUAGCUACAGGCUUAACACAUGCAAGUCGAGGGGAAACGACAUCGAAAGCUUGCUUUUGAUGGGCGUCGACCGGCGCACGGGUGAGUAACGCGUAUCCAACCUGCCCACCACUUGGGGAUAACCUUGCGAAAGUAAGACUAAUACCCAAUGAUAUCUCAAGAAGACAUCUGAAUGAGAUUAAAGAUUUAUCGGUGAUGGAUGGGGAUGCGUCUGAUUGGCUUGUUGGCGGGGUAACGGCCCACCAAGGCGACGAUCAGUAGGGGUUCUGAGAGGAAGGUCCCCCACAUUGGAACUGAGACACGGUCCAAACUCCUACGGGAGGCAGCAGUGAGGAAUAUUGGUCAAUGGGCGAGAGCCUGAACCAGCCAAGUAGCGUGCAGGAUGACGGCCCUAUGGGUUGUAAACUGCUUUUAUAAGGGAAUAAAGUGAGUCUCGUGAGACUUUUUGCAUGUACCUUAUGAAUAAGGACCGGCUAAUUCCGUGCCAGCAGCCGCGGUAAUACGGAAGGUCCGGGCGUUAUCCGGAUUUAUUGGGUUUAAAGGGAGCGUAGGCCGGAGAUUAAGCGUGUUGUGAAAUGUAGAUGCUCAACAUCUGCACUGCAGCGCGAACUGGUUUCCUUGAGUACGCACAAAGUGGGCGGAAUUCGUGGUGUAGCGGUGAAAUGCUUAGAUAUCACGAAGAACUCCGAUUGCGAAGGCAGCUCACUGGAGCGCAACUGACGCUGAAGCUCGAAAGUGCGGGUAUCGAACAGGAUUAGAUACCCUGGUAGUCCGCACGGUAAACGAUGGAUGCCCGCUGUUGGUCUGAAUAGGUCAGCGGCCAAGCGAAAGCAUUAAGCAUCCCACCUGGGGAGUACGCCGGCAACGGUGCAACUCAAAGGAAUUGACGGAAUA